AGCCGGGUCGUCUAGCGGCCAAGGAUGCGGGGCUCUGGCCAACCCCCGUGACCGGGGUUCGAAUCCCCGCCCGGCUACCA
rnacentral:tRNA from 1 species